GGAUGAACGCUGGCGGCGUGGAUAAGGCAUGCAAGUCGAACGAAAUAUAUUAAUUUAAUAUGUUUAGUGGCAGACGGGGUAGUAACACGUAGGAACUCACCCCAGAGACGGACACAACCCCGCGAAAGCGGGGCUAAUAUCCGAUAGUCUCCGAUCUUGCAAGAGCGUCGGAGUAAAUCUAGCAAUAGGCUCUGGGAAAGGCCUGCGGGCUAUCAGCUUGUUGGUGAGGUAAUGGCUCACCAAGGCUAUGACGGCUAGGGGGCGUGAGAGCGCGACCCCCACCAAUGGAACUGCGACACGGUCCAUACACCUACGGGUGGCUGCAGUCAAGAACAUUCGACAAUGGGCGAAAGCCGGAUCGAGCGACGCCGCGUGCGGGAAGAAGCUCUUCGGAGCGUAAACCGCUUUUAUAGGGGAAAAACGCAAGUGAUAUUACCCUAUGAAUAAGGCCUUGCUAACCUCGUG
rnacentral:rRNA from 1 species